GUUGGCAGGUGUUUUUACUGUGUACCAACUUUGGUUUCUUCAGGUCUUCUAAGAACUUCAGGUGACCACUGGGACUAAAGGUGGAGCCAAGCCUUUUCAGCCUUCCCCACUGACCCCAAGCACUGUGUGCUCCACACAAAGCCAUGCGCAGCCAGUGGAAUGUGGACAAUUCCUCGAUGUUCUGGCAUGGACAUGAUCUCCUUCGUGCUUCCAACACGGGAUUCCGAUCAAUAAGUUGGGGCCCCAAGCUUCUUCAGGAAAACAGUUUUUAUUUGUGCUAGCAGAUUCAUCCAAACUUCUGUUUCAAAGAACCAAGCCCCAAAGGCUCACUAGACGGAGCCUUUUGGAUUUUGCGUCUUUGUCUCCCAUACAUGGACCCCCCACCAUAGUGACAUGGUGGCAGAACAGGUGCAGACCCUGGUGAUAGCCACAGCAGCCAUAGGGGAAGUCACUCGUCCUGACGUUCUCACUCUGUUCUUACCUCAUCACAGGAAGGGAAACUAAUCACCCCACAUCAUCCCCAAGACUUGUGAACGACUGCUCUUUCUGUACUGAGUACUCACAGAUGUGGAAACAGACCCACAGGGAACUCACGGGGCUAUCGGCAAUAGAGGCACCAUCAGUCCCAGCACCAAGUCCCAUCAGGGAAGUAGCCAAACUCUGU
rnacentral:lncRNA from 1 species